rnacentral:tRNA from 1 species
GCCCAGAUGGCGGAAUUGGUAGACGCGCUGGUCUCAAACACCAGUGGUAGCAAUAUCGUGCCGGUUCGAUCCCGGCCUCGGGUA